AGGGUGUAAACGCUGCAGACUUGGUGUUGGGAACCCUUCGGGGUGCUCAGUGCCGGAGAGAAGUUGCUAAGUCUGCUACUUGGGGAGUACGUCCGCAAGGAUGAAACUUAAAGGAAUUGGCGGGGGAGCACCGCAACGGGAGGAGCGUGCGGUUUAAUUGGAUUCAACGCCGAAAAACUCACCAGCAGCGACUGUUACAUGAAACCCAGACUAAUGAUCUUGGUUGAUUUUUCAGAGAGGAGGUGCAUGGCGUCAGUGACU
rnacentral:rRNA from 1 species